AUUGAACGCUGGCGGCAGGCCUAACACAUGCAAGUCGAACGGUAACAGGAAGCAGCUUGCUGCUUUGCUGACGAGUGGCGGACGGGUGAGUAAUGUCUGGGAAACUGCCCGAUGGAGGGGGAUAACUACUGGAAACGGUAGCUAAUACCGCAUAACGUCGCAAGACCAAAGAGGGGGACCUUAGGGCCUCUUGCCAUCGGAUGUGCCCAGAUGGGAUUAGCUAGUAGGUGGGGUAACGGCUCACCUAGGCGACGAUCCCUAGCUGGUCUGAGAGGAUGACCAGCCACACUGGAACUUGGACACGGUCCAGACUCCUACGGGAGGCAGCAGUGGGGAAUAUUGCACAAUGGGCGCAAGCCUGAUGCAGCCAUGCCGCGUGUAUGAAGAAGGCCUUCGGGUUGUAAAGUACUUUCAGCGGGGAGGAAGGGAGUAAAGUUAAUACCUUUGCUCAUUGACGUUACCCGCAGAAGAAGCACCGGCUAACUCCGUG
rnacentral:rRNA from 1 species